rnacentral:rRNA from 1 species
AUACGUAGGGGGCGAGCGUUGUCCGGAAUGAUUGGGCGUAAAGGGCGCGUAGGCGGCCCGGUAAGUCUGGAGUGAAAGUCCUGUUUUUAAGAUGGGAAUUGCUUUGGAUACUGUCGGGCUUUAGUGCAGGAGAGGUAAGUGGAGUUCCCAGUGUAGCGGUGAAAUGCGUAGAGAUUGGGAGGAACACCAGUGGCGAAGGCGACUUACUGGACUGUAACUGACGCUGAGGCGCGAAAGUGUGGGGAGCAAACAGGAUUAGAUACCCUGGUAGUCCACACUGUAAACGAUGAAUGCUAGGUGUAGGGGGUAUCGACCCCUUCUGUGCCGCAGUCAACACAAUAAGCAUUCCGCCUGGGGAGUACGGCCGCAAGGUUGAAACUCAAAUGAAUUGACGGGG